rnacentral:sRNA from 1 species
UCACCACUGGACCAACAAUCGAGUGCC